UUACCAAAUCCUAAACAACUUGGUUUUGUUACAAGAAGACUUCCCCUUGAAGUAGAGUCAUCUUCAAGCCAGCAAGAUUCAUGUACACUGAAUAAUAUGUCAGUUACAAUGUUACAAGGCUGAUAGCUUGAUAGAUUUUGUUGAUUUUUGUAGAAAAUAUGAAAGGCAAAGCUUGCUAAUUAACUCAACGGAGCUUAUCUGGACCAGACAUGAGGAUUUGGAUCAUGUUGAUUUUGGUGGAAGAGAUUGUUGUAGGUGUAUUUUCUUUUGUUCUUUGUUUUUUUCCACAUUAAAGUCCAAGAAGUAUUAUAUUUGGGUUAAAUGGUGAUGAUUUUUUUUUUUUUGAACAAUAGGGAGGAGCUGAUUUUUGUUCCAUUUAGAAUCUGUUUCUCUAAAAAUAAUUUACAACAUAGUUUUGGAGGGAUAUUGCGAGUAUUCAUUGCCACUAAUCCAUGUCACCAUAGUUUUGGAUACCUCCAAGAUGUCCAUACCAGGCAACCCUUCAAGCCAACCGCCGGCGAUGAAACGCCAUCAACAUCACUCGUAACCGCUUCUAUCCUCUCCGUAACCGCGUUUCCUGAAGCUUUUACUUGGGGCCCAUGGAACAUGGUUGUUGAGGCUUAAUGAACUCCAAACGGGCCGGCAAGCCAUGUUGGGCUGCACUUUGGGUCACAAUAGAAGAUGAUGAGAGCCCACGUAUUUACAGGCCCGUUUGCAGCAACCUCCAUAUGUGCAUCUAGUUUGAGUAAGAAAGAGCCGUCUUGAGCUUCGUUUGAUUUCUUAUGUUGAGCAAACAUCACAUCUAUGGGCUGCUGUAUGAGGCUCUCACGCAAAGCUGACAUGCAAUACGAUGUUUUCGAUGUAUCCAAAGAUCCGUGUCAAAUUUCACUCGGAAUGCAC
rnacentral:lncRNA from 1 species